AAAGAAGAGCGGAAAGUUCGGCGAAAUUACAUUGCCUUCCUCCUGGGCCCCACGCCCAGUUCAGCCCUUCUCACCCCCGCGAUCCAAAGUUUAUUCUGUCCACCAGUGUUACUGUCCCUCUGGCCCCGCUGUCUCCCCAGGACCCUGAGGUUCCCAGACACAGGGCUCCAGAAGCGCUUCCUGUGAUACCUGUCAGCGCAACCUUACAAUUGCGCUGCAGGCGCGGAUCCUCAGUCCGGGUGUGAAACCAGAACCACGCCGGUUGUGCUCGAGAUUUGGGAGAAGAAACGCCUUGGGUUCCCCAGCCCUUAAGGACAGAGUCCCUCACCGGCUAACAGUCUGGUACAAAGGGGGGAGGGCCCGCGACAGGCUGGAGGCCACUCCCGGGGCGGGGAUCACCUCCGGGUUCCCGCUCGGAGCUGCUCGUAAUUCGGGCUUCGGUCCUCGGGGGAAGAGUGCCUGUGAGGAAAGGAGACUUAAGAAACCUUCAGAUGCCCUCAGGAGGACCCGGGAGGAAGCGCCCAGGCGGACCCUGUGGUCGGCGGAGUUUAGCUCAGCCACUGCCAGACGGCGGAACCCUGAGCCGGGCGGUGGGAUUUUUUUGGGGGCCUCGCCAGCUUCUGCGUUCUGCUGAGGUGUGCGAAACGGGGGAAGAUAAAAUGCAGGAUUCUAUAUAUUCAAAAAAGGGAUUUUCGGUCUAAAUUGCCAUGGUCCAUGUUUUACUUUUGACGCACGCAGUGCCGGGACAAUCUUUUUCAAAACAACUUCUGCACUAGUUCAGUUAACUGAAAAAUAGGUCAUAGCAGCACCGAGGAACUUCAUUUACAGAGGCAAAUUUCGACUCCUUUUCCUGACUGGCUGAAGACCCCCGGAACUUUGAAGGCCCUGCUUUCCUCUAGGUUCAGAAACCAAAGGUCUUGAAACUCGCUUCGCCAACCCUUUCCAUAGCAUCUUCCUCCCUCGCCAAAAAGAACGGUGGUUCAAUGACCGUGAAUGAAGCCACUGUCCGCCUUCGGGGCAAAGGGCAUCAUAUCAGGGCACGCCGUGGGUACCUCCAAGGUUGGAGUCAAUAGCACCCAGGAGGCAGGCCCGGGCCGGGAGCGAGAGCUCCCUGAGGCCGCGCAGCAGGUGUACCUGAUCCGUGGCAGCAGGUGUGUUUUGCAGGAAAGUACCAAGCGAGAUGGCCGCCCAGGUCAAAGAGAUCGUGGAGAGGCACUUGAACAGGCCUGCGGGCCCUGGGACAAACCUCCAGAGUCCCACCCCAUCCCCGAGUCGCUCACCUGAGGUCUUCCGCCGCGGCCGCGGGUGGCCUAAAGUCCAGGCGCCAGGGGCGUGGAGGGGGCCCGACCACAUUCGCUCUCUUUUCUGGCCAGAGUCCCUCUGGUAGAAACUACAAGGUCCCACCCCAUGAUUAUUUGCCUUUUAUUAACCUAUCAAUCCCCCUGCUAAUGUGGCUAA